UACGGAGGGGGCUAGCGUUGUUCGGAAUUACUGGGCGUAAAGCGUACGUAGGCGGUUACUCAAGUCAGAGGUGAAAGCCCGGGGCUCAACCCCGGAACGGCCUUUGAAACUAGGUAGCUAGAAUCUUGGAGAGGUCAGUGGAAUUCCGAGUGUAGAGGUGAAAUUCGUAGAUAUUCGGAAGAACACCAGUGGCGAAGGCGACUGACUGGACAAGUAUUGACGCUGAGGUACGAAAGCGUGGGGAGCAAACAGG
rnacentral:rRNA from 1 species